rnacentral:rRNA from 1 species
UACGGAGGGGGCUAGCGUUGUUCGGAAUUACUGGGCGUAAAGCGCACGUAGGCGGAUUGGAAAGUUGGGGGUGAAAUCCCGGGGCUCAACCCCGGAACUGCCUUCAAAACUCCCAGUCUGGAGGUCGAGAGAGGUGAGUGGAAUUCCGAGUGUAGAGGUGAAAUUCGUAGAUAUUCGGAGGAACACCAGUGGCGAAGGCGGCGCACUGGCUCGAUACUGACGCUGAGGUGCGAAAGCGUGGGGAGCGAACAGG